CCUACGGGAGGCAGCAGUGAGGAAUAUUGGUCAAUGGGCUUACGCCUGAACCAGCCAAGUCGCGUGAGGGAAGACUGCCCUAUGGGUUGUAAACCUCUUUUGUCAGGGAGCAACGCCGGCUACGUGUAGCCGGACUGAGAGUACCUGAAGAAAAAGCAUCGGCUAACUCCGUGCCAGCAGCCGCGGUAAUACGGAGGAUGCGAGCGUUAUCCGGAUUUAUGGGGUUUAAAGGGUGCGUAGGCGGAAUGCCAAGUCAGCGGUAAAAUCGCGGGGCUCAACCUCGCUCCGCCGUUGAAACUGGCGUUCUUGAGUGGGCGAGAAGUAUGCGGAAUGCGUGGUGUAGCGGUGAAAUGCAUAGAGAUCACGCAGAACUCCGAUUGCGAAGGCAGCAUACCGGCGCCCAACUGACGCUGAAGCACGAAAGCGUGGGUAUCGAACAGGAUUAGAUACCCUGGUAGUC
rnacentral:rRNA from 1 species